rnacentral:lncRNA from 1 species
GUAUUAUUAGUCAUGCUAAAUGCAUCAAUCGAUAAAAUUCACGAGAUAGAUAAAAAUAAUAGGUGAAAUAGUCACUAGCAUUGAUCAUAAUAAUUAUUUUUGUUUCUACUACAAAAACUUUGAAAGAUAUCCAAACCUCUCUACUAUUGAGAUGCAUAUCCACCAAUUACACAAAAUCACUCAUUGGUCGUCGCAAAUCGGAGUAGAUGGCUUUUAGGAAAAGUGGAUGCACGUCUUUCGUUAACGUCACCUCAGCGUCUAAUUUCUCAACAAGUGGCCAAAUCUUUUGAUCAUCGGAAAAUACUUGCGAAUAAUAAAAUAAAUAUAAUAUACGGAAAUUUUAAGCUAUUUUUUUUUCUUAGUAACUAUCUAGUAAUAUCAAAUCUUCCAACCAAGGAUGCUAUAAGGAAAUAAAAAACUGGUGGAGCACCUAGCAGCAUGUUUUGCAAAGCUUAAAAAAAAUAGAAAGAGAUGUUUACAUGUCAGUGUUUGGCUUAAGAGCAAAACAGAUUCUAAAGCCUCUCCAUAGGGGGAAAUACACUAAUUCCAGGUGGGCAUGGAAAGCCUUAAGAGAUCGUAAAGCAAAUGAGAGUGCAAAUUGACACGUGCGGACACCAUAUUUCGAAAGUUGAAGAAAACCCUAUCAUUCAACUCUUCACUACAAAUUAUGAUAUUUUUGAAAUGUCCUUGUUUGAGCCCCCCCCUUUUUUUUUGUCAAAAUGCAUUUUAAAAUAGUGUUUUGUUGGAGAAUAUGUGGUUAAUAAGUUUAAAAAAAAAAGUUUUGGAUUUGUGUGCAAAAUGUUUUUAUAGGAGAAUGUGUGGUUGAAAAUGAAUUUUUGGAAAAAUGGAGACCAAACAUCUAAUUUUUCAUGUUUAACAGGCAAUUGAGAAAAUCAUCAAUAGCUUCGCUUCACGCCAGCUCCAGAGUGAAGUCGUCAUUCUGGAACCAUAGAACAUGAAAAAGCAAGUACAAAGGGGAAAAGAAGCAGAAGAAGUAUCAUAAGGAAAACCUUACCUCUGAAGCACAUUGGCGGGUGAAGGCUUUGACAUAACCCAGAGUUGAUAAACACCGUUGCUCUUUCUCACCAACAAUUUAAUCAUUUCUGCUCCUGUCUUGAUAGGAGUGACUGCAACAUUCAUACAAACCAAGGAAAAUGAACAUAAAAAAUAGAUCUGUAGAGUUUAACAUGUAGUGUAUAAAUGAUUAAUACAACUACAAUGCGAAAAUAUAAACUUUCAAAGUGUAAAAAUUGAACCAAAACUUCUUCAACAUCAUCAAUGGAGUGCCCUAUAAUGUUGAGUUCAAAUUUGUGCAACACUGAAUCAUACACCGUCAUCCACGAGAAAGGCAAUAAAUAUACCGAGAAAAGGAUCCGUCGAAAGCCACCAAAAGUUUAGCCAGAGAUUUGAACUUUUCCCACUUGGUUACCUCUCCACACUUUUUCACUUUCGUUAUUUCAAGUCCGAAUGAAAUAAGUGAAGAAACUUGUAAUUAUAAAGUCAAAACCAUUUGAAUUCAAAUUCAAAUAUUGUACCAAGAUCAAGAGUGAAGGUGACAUAACU